UACGUAGGGGCCGAGCGUUGUCCGGAGUUAUUGGGCGUAAAGCGCGCGCAGGCGGCUUCGCGCGUCCGACGUGAAAGCCCCCGGCUCAACCGGGGAGGGUCGUUGGGUACGGCGGAGCUUGAGGGCGGUAGAGGCUGGUGGAAUUCCCGGUGUAGUGGUGAAAUGCGUAGAGAUCGGGAGGAACACCUGUGGCGAAGGCGGCCAACUGGGCCGACCCUGACGCUGAGGCGCGAAGGCGUGGGGAGCGAACGGG
rnacentral:rRNA from 1 species